rnacentral:rRNA from 1 species
UACAGAGGGGGCAAGCGUUGUUCGGAAUUACUGGGCGUAAAGGGCGCGUAGGCGGCCGCCUAAGUCAGACGUGAAAUCCCUCGGCUCAACCGGGGAACUGCGUCUGAUACUGGGUGGCUUGAAUCCGGGAGAGGGAUGCGGAAUUCCAGGUGUAGCGGUGAAAUGCGCAGAUAUCAGGAAGAACACCCGUGGCGAAGGCGGGUCUCUGGGCCGUAACUGACGCUGAGGAGCGAAAGCGUGGGGAGCGAACAGG